CCAGGUUCUUUGUUAAGGAAAUUAGAUUUAAUAAAAUAUUGACAGUCAUACAGAAUUUAAGACUAAAAAAUAACAAGAUGAGUAAGAUAAAGCCAACCCUUCGUUUUGAGCUGUUUCAAUUUAAGGAGCCAGAUCCUACUUUAAUCCCAUAGCAAAUAGGGCAAUAAUGUAUAAAUAAAGACAAACUAUGUGGGAAGUGAUAAUAAAUUGGAUUGCUUUGCCUUGGAAUCAAUAGUGUAAAGAAGUGGCCUUGGUCCUGAAUUCAUGGACUGCUCUAGCCUUUCUAGCUUUGAACAGCCCCUCUCCCCAAGUAGUUCUAACAGGUUUGGCCUCCUGAAUUUCCCAUCUGCUUCAUCUUUCACUGCUUAUUACUGAUUUUUGCCACCUUUUUUUUUUUGGUCAUCUGUUCAGACGUUUCAUUCUCCCAAGUUCAGACGUUUCUGGGGAAAAUGCAAAAGCACAACUGCAGGUAGUCUGGACCUUCUAUUAUUUUUCUCAUUCUUUUACUGAACUUCACUGCUUAACCACAAACACUGCACUUUUCAUUGUUCUUAA
rnacentral:lncRNA from 1 species